rnacentral:misc_RNA from 1 species
AUACAACAUUAAUAAAUUACAUAUCUCACAAAGUUCAAAAGCAGAAAUAGGUUUAGGAGUACUCAUAGAUCUUUGACUGCAAUUGCAAAUGUGGUUGCCACCAUUGGUGAAUGCCAUGAGCUUGUUUAAAGUCUUGUGCAGGACAUAAAUUUAUAACCAAAUUUGCUGAUGGAAUGAGAUGAAUUGGCUCGGAUUCCCUCCCAAAUGCAUUCAUCAAAAGACCUCCAAUCGAAUUCUGCGUCGCUAAUCUCUCGAUACUUCCUG